rnacentral:misc_RNA from 1 species
UCGUCAGACUUGCUCUUUCGCUCAUGGCAAUGCUGAACUCCGUCGCUUCUCCGGUUCCGGUGGCGAAAUGCGAGAUUUUCGUGGUCGUGACUUGAGAGAGAAGCUUGAUAGAGAGCAUUCUCCAGUGGGAAGAUACUCCUCUGGUAAAGGGCAUUCUCCAGUGGGUAGAUACUCUUCUGAAAGAGGGCAUUCUCCAGUGGGCAGAUACUCUUCUGAUAGAGAUGCAAGAGAGAGACAUGCAUCCCGUGGACGCAGUCCUCCUGAGUCUGUUGAGAGGAGUGAUAGAAAGCGCAGGAUGAAACAGCAUUCGGAUGGUCAAAGUGACAUCUCUGGAAGUUUGAACAUGUCCGAUGGGACAGGAGAUCAUGUGAAGGAGAAAAAACAUUUAUCGUCCAAUUCCAAAGAUGUCCUUCAGCUUAGGCAGUUGCAAUCUGAAAUCAAUAUGUUGGAUGACGAAAAACGAGAACUGGAGAUAUACCUUGAAGAGACAACUUGUCAGGCAGAAAGUCUAGCUUCAAAAAAUCAGGAACUAGAGAUGGAACUUUUCAAGGAAAAGGAGGAACGUAAAAGGAUUACUUUGAAGACUAAGCAGUUCAUUGAAGCAUAUACUAAUCACUCACGGUUGGAAGCUGAACUGAAGAGGUCAGAAGCUCAGCUUCAAAAGCUCGCUUACAAACUCAGCUCAGAUUUCAUCAGAACUGGUGCAAGUGAAGAGGAUUCUGCCAUCAACAUUAGUGAUGGAGGGAUGGCUGGUAAUCAUUUUAGUUCAUUGGUUGAGCAGCAGAAGAAUACUUCACCUACCAAGAAAAGGCCGAGAAUUCAUCAUGAAGCUGAUGAAACGUCAAAUCAAGCGUUAACAAGAGCAAAAGGAAAUGGUGCGCAGAGGAUAAGCUAUCCUACUCAGCUGAGUAAUGAGAAGAAAGACGAGGCAGACUUUUCCAGUGACAUGACUUUCACUAACAAGCCCAAAGCUUCUGAGAGUGCUGUUGUUUUGCCACCAACUAGCAUGGCCGCUCAUGCAAAGGAUGAAGAUGCCGAAGUUGGCGAGACAGAGGA